GUUGUUUCCAGGUGUGAGAGCGUUGUUUCCAGGUGUGAGAGCGUUGUUUCCAGGUGUGAGAGCGUUGUUUCCAGGUGUGAGAGCGUUGUUUCCAGGUGUGAGAGCGUUGUUUCCAGCUGUGAGAGCGUUGUUUCCAGGUGCCUUAGUGUUGUUUCCAGGUGCCUUAGUGUUGUUUCCAGGUAUGGGAACAUUGUUUCCAGGUGUCUUGGUGUUGUUUCCAGGUGUCUUGGUGUUGUUUCCAGGUAUGGGAGCGCUGUUUCCAGGUGUCUCAGCGUUGUUACCAAGUGUCUUGGUGUUGUUUCCGGGUGUC